CCUACGGGGUGCAGCAGGGAGGAAUAUUGGUCAAUGGCCGUAAGGCGGAACCAGCCAAGUCGCGGGAAGGAAGAAGGAGCUAUGGUUGGUAAACUUCUUUUAUAGGGGAAUAAAGGUAUCCACGUGUGGAUAUUUGCAUGUACCCUAUGAAUAAGCAUCGGCUAACUCCGUGCCAGCAGCCGCGGUAAUACGGAGGAUGCGAGCGUUAUCCGGAUUUAUUGGGUUUAAAGGGUGCGUAGUUGUUUUUUUAAGUCAGCGGUGAAAGUUUGUGGCUCAACCAUAAAAUUGCCGUUGAAAUUGGAAGCCUUGAGUGUGUUUGAGGUAGGCGGAUGGCGUGUGGUAGCGGUGAAAUGAAUAG
rnacentral:rRNA from 1 species